UUUUGCCGAUGUUUACCGAUGUUUUCCGGUGUUUUUGCUGGUACCGCUGUUGAGCGAUGCAUCGAUGUUUUGCAAAACAUCGAUCGCUUAAUUUCAAAUCAUUUCGUAUUUGUCUUCUUUUCAGUUCAGGUUGCCAGUGCACCAACAGGGCAUAAAUCAGGCAUAUGUAUAUCAUCCCUUCCACACGCAAGCUCCUGUUUGCGUCAACGUCAAAGUAUAUUGGAUAUAAGGUAAGGCAGAGUCCUCGAGAAUGGCCUCCUCUACGACGGUACUUCCUUACGUUAUCUAUGACGUUUCAGUAGAGUAGAGCAUUCCACAAGUCGGCUAUCGGCUAUGACCUCGUCAAAGCGCGUCUCUCUCACUCUCCCUUUUUCACGCAAACAAACACACACACAGACACACCAACACUCACUGACGCGCAGCCGCAUUCGAAUUAACGGAUCAAUUGUAACAACAAAUGUUUGCCUCUCAGGGCUGUGCGUCAACAAAAUGCCGUCGUUUACCGUUUGUUCCUUCCACUAGCUCAUUGGACAAAUAGUAAUUUUCAGAAAAUGCAAUUUGAUAGCUGUAAAAGCGCAGCAGAGUGUCGUAAGACGUAAUUCACGCCACCAAAGCGGCAACCGCAAGCGACGCCUACAGAUGUAGCUGCAACAGAAGCAGCAGCAUCAGCAGCUGCCGGACCGGAAUACAACAAAGCUUAAAACAUACCGAUGCACUCAAGUUCAUUCCUUGGGACUCACCAUCAGCGUGGAAUUCCUUGUCAAAUAGGGCUGAGGGGAGGGCAAAAUGCUGCGCAAUGCAAAAACUUCGAUUUUUCACAGGCAAAGCACAAACACACUUGCAGAGCACACUCUCUAAACAUUCACGACGCACAAGCCAACCAGGCGCUUUUGUGGCAGCAGCUAUAAUAAAUAAUAAUUAAAA